CACCCUGAACUCAUAAGAUAACUGCAUGAUAUCACAUUCAAAAAUCAGUCUUUCUUGUAAAAUGUCUUCACAGUGCAGGAUUCCUGUUCGGUAGCUAGAAGACCCACUUUAAAGAAGAUGAGGAUUUAAUUCCCCUUUCACUGGCAGAGGUUCAAACCCACCGUUCCCACCUCUCAAGGGACACCCUAAUCAAUGAGCAACCAUCUGUUCAGGGGCCCUUAUGUAACUCUUCAUGAAUUCCAAGUCUGCCGUUAAGGGUAUUUAUGGCACUGCAUCUAUGUAGUUGACAGAUAAGGCAUGACAACUGUGGCAAAGGUAAGUCUGAGUGAGGUGCAGGUAAGGUGGUGAUACAUGACUGUGCUUCAGCUCUGGUACCUUAUCUUGUAGAAUAAAGAGUACUCUUAAGAAGGUGGAAGUCUGACA
rnacentral:lncRNA from 1 species